GACGAACGCUGGCGGCAUGCCUAACACAUGCAAGUCGAACGAAACCUUCGGGUCUAGUGUCUCACGGUGGCGUAAGGCGUGGGAACCUGCCCUUAGGUUCGGAAUAACUCCCCGAAAGGGGUGCUAAUACCGGAUAAGGUCUUCUAACCAAAGAUUUAUCGCGUUUGGAUGGUCCCGCGUUGGAUUAGCUCGUUGUUAGGGUAAAAGCAUACCAAGGCGUGGAUCCAUAGCUUGUCUGAGAGGAUGAUCAGCCACACUGGGACUGAGACACGGCCCAGAAUCCUCCGCGAGGGAGGAGUGGGGAAUAUUGGAACACGGGCGAAAGGAUGAUCCACCACGGAUGGGUGAGCGCUGAAGGUAUUAGGGUUCUAAAGCUCUUUUAACCGGGCUGAUAAUGACAGUACCGGGAGAAUAAGCCCCGGCUAACUCCGUG
rnacentral:rRNA from 1 species